rnacentral:rRNA from 1 species
UACGGGGGGGGCAAGCGUUGUUCGGAAUUACUGGGCGUAAAGGGCUCGUAGGCGGCCAACUAAGUCGGAUGUGAAAUCCCCAGGCUCAACCUGGGAACUGCAUCCGAUACUGGAUGGCUUGAAUUCGGGAGAGGGAUGCAGAAUUCCAGGUGUAGCGGUGAAAUGCGUAGAGAUGUGGCGGAACACCGGUGGCGAAGGCGGCAUCCUGGACCGGCAUUGACGCUGAGGAGCGAAAGCCAGGGGAGCAAACGGG